UAGGGAAUCUUCGGCAAUGGACGAAAGUCUGACCGAGCAACGCCGCGUGAGUGAAGAAGGUUUUCGGAUCGUAAAACUCUGUUGUUAGAGAAGAACAAGGACGUUAGUAACUGAACGUCCCCUGACGGUAUCUAACCAGAAAGCCACGGCUAACUACGUGCCAGCAGCCGCGGUAAUACGUAGGUGGCAAGCGUUGUCCGGAUUUAUUGGGCGUAAAGCGGGCGCAGGCGGUUUCUUAAGUCUGAUGUGAAAGCCCCCGGCUCAACCGGGGAGGGUCAUUGGAAACUGGGAGACUUGAGUGCAGAAGAGGAGAGUGGAAUUCCAUGUGUAGCGGUGAAAUGCGUAGAUAUAUGGGGGAACACCAGUGGCGAAGGCGGCUCUCUGGUCUGUAACUGACGCUGAGGCUCGAAAGCGUGGGGGGCAAACAGG
rnacentral:rRNA from 1 species